rnacentral:lncRNA from 1 species
AUUCUCCCGUGUGCUUGCUCCCACCGGCUGUGUGCGAGCCUGGGGAGGGGGAGGGAUUGCCUGUGGCAGGAGAGAGGCACACUGCUAAGUCAGCCUGAGCCCCUGGGGUAGGCUGCGCUCAGGAAGGUCCCUGCCCGGAAAAAUGACGUGCUCACCAGAGCCGUUUGGUGUAGAAACUGAAAUCUGUAGAAUUGCCAGUAGUAUAGACAACCUUAUAUGGACAUGCAGGCAGCUGAUCCUCGUGAAAAUCAGGGCAGACAUAAUUUAAU